rnacentral:lncRNA from 1 species
CCUUAGGUUAUCCACUUGAGGGAAAAUUGCUACUGUCCUACAAUACUCUGCGCUUGGAGGCCCAACACGAGUUUACAAGAAUAAAGUUGUGUAGUAGACAUCAUUAGGUCGCACCGUAUAAGGAAAUAGGAGACACGCUAGGGUUCAUGGUCAUUAGUUCGACGGCGAUGAAGCAUCUAGGGAUGCCAACUUUCAUUUGAAAGGAUGCAUAAUUUGACACACAUUUUCAAUUGGGCUCUAAUAGAAGCAGCGAUGACUAAGCGGCGAACGACGACAC